rnacentral:rRNA from 1 species
GGCGAACGCUGGCGGCGUGCUUAACACACGCAAGUCGAACGGAAAGGCCCUGCUUUUGUGGGGUGCUCGAGUGGCGAACGGGUGAGUAACACGUGAGUAACCUGCCCUUGACUUUGGGAUAACUUCAGGAAACUGGGGCUAAUACCGGAUAGGAGCUCCUGCUGCAUGGUGGGGGUUGGAAAGUUUCGGCGGUUGGGGAUGGACUCGCGGCUUAUCAGCUUGUUGGUGGGGUAGUGGCUUACCAAGGCUUUGACGGGUAGCCGGCCUGAGAGGGUGACCGGCCACAUUGGGACUGAGAUACGGCCCAGACUCCUACGGGAGGCAGCAGUGGGGAAUAUUGCACAAUGGGCGGAAGCCUGAUGCAGCAACGCCGCGUGCGGGAUGACGGCCUUCGGGUUGUAAACCGCUUUCGCCUGUGACGAAGCGUGAGUGACGGUAAUGGGUAAAGAAGCACGGGCUAACUACGUG